AUUGAACGCUGGCGGCAUGCUUUACACAUGCAAGUCGAACGGCAGCACGGGCUUCGGCCUGGUGGCGAGUGGCGAACGGGUGAGUAAUGCAUCGGAACGUACCGUGUAAUGGGGGAUAACGUAGCGAAAGUUACGCUAAUACCGCAUACGCCCUGAGGGGGAAAGUGGGGGACCGCAAGGCCUCACGUUAUACGAGCGGCCGAUGUCGGAUUAGCUAGUUGGUGGGGUAAAGGCCUACCAAGGCGACGAUCCGUAGCGGGUCUGAGAGGAUGAUCCGCCACACUGGGACUGAGACACGGCCCAGACUCCUACGGGAGGCAGCAGUGGGGAAUUUUGGACAAUGGGCGCAAGCCUGAUCCAGCCAUGCCGCGUGAGUGAAGAAGGCCUCGGUUGUAAAGCUCUGUCAUGGGGAAGGAAGUAAGUAGACGGUACCCAACGAGGAAGCCCGUCGCUAACUACGUGCCACGCAGCCGCCGGUAAGUGAGUAGUACA
rnacentral:rRNA from 1 species